rnacentral:rRNA from 1 species
GCCUUUAGCACAACAAGUAUUAAAGGUCCUGCCUGCCCAGUGAAAUUUUUUAACGGCCGCGGUAUUCUAACCGUGCAAAGGUAGCGUAAUCAUUUGUCUUCUAAAUAAAGACCAGUAUGAAUGGCUAAAUGAGGAUAAACCUGUCUCCUACAACCCAUCAGUGAAAUUGAUCCCCCAGUCCAAAAGCUGGAAUACAUACAUAAGACGAGAAGACCCUGUGGAGCUUAAAAUUUACACGCUAACAAGCAAAUAAAGUCUAUAGCAAGAAGUUUUAAGUUGGGGCGACUUCGGAACAAAAAAGAACUUCCGAGCACAGAACCAUAAUUUCUAACUAAGGUUGACAAACCAAAGCAAAAAUUGACCCAGUCAAACUGAUUAACGAACCAAGUUACCCCAGGGAUAACAGCGCUAUCUUCUUCAAGAGUCCAUAUCGACAAGAAGGUUUACGACCUCGAUGUUGGAUCAGGGCACCCAAAUGGUGCAACCGCUAUUAAAGGUUCGUUUGUUCAACGAUUAACAGCC